CAGCGGAGGGAUCAUUACCGAGUUUACAACUCCCAAACCCCUGUGAACAUACCUAUUGUUGCCUCGGCGGUGCCUGUUCCGACAGCCCGCCAGAGGACCCCAAACCCUGAUUACAUUAAAGAAUUCUUCUGAGUAACCGAUUAAAUAAAUCAAAACUUUCAACAACGGAUCUCUUGGUUCUGGCAUCGAUGAAGAACGCAGCAAAAUGCGAUAAGUAAUGUGAAUUGCAGAAUUCAGUGAAUCAUCGAAUCUUUGAACGCACAUUGCGCCCGCUGGUAUUCCGGCGGGCAUGCCUGUUCGAGCGUCAUUUCAACCCUCAAGCCCCCGGGUUUGGUGUUGGGGAUCGGCUCUGCCCUUCUGGGCGGCGCCGCCCCCGAAAUACAUUGGCGGUCUCGCUGCAGCCUCCAUUGCGUAGUAGCUAACACCUCGCAACUGGAACGCGGCGCGGCCAUGCCGUAAAACCCCAACUUCUGAAUGUUGACCUCGGAUCAGGUAGGAAUACCCGCUGAACUUAAGCAUAUCAAUAAGCGGAGGA
rnacentral:rRNA from 1 species